rnacentral:rRNA from 1 species
UACGUAGGGUGCAGGCGUUAAUCGGAAUUACUGGGCGUAAAGCGUGCGCAGGCGGUUUUGUAAGACAGGCGUGAAAUCCCCGGGCUCAACCUGGGAAUUGCAUUUGUGACUGCACGGCUAGAGUGUGUCAGAGGGGGGUAGAAUUCCACGUGUAGCAGUGAAAUGCGUAGAGAUGUGGAGGAAUACCGAUGGCGAAGGCAGCCCCCUGGGAUAACACUGACGCUCAUGCACGAAAGCGUGGGGAGCAAACAGG